rnacentral:miRNA from 1 species
AAUAUCCUUUUAACAAAUUAUGCGUAUUUAAGGAGAUAGGGCUGCGCAUGCGCAGAACGUAUCUCCUUACCUUUGCACUUUUUGGUAAGAAGAUGUUAACAAAGUUGUUUGUCUUGAUGAGGGCUACAACUUUGCUUAAUAUCCUUUUAACAAAUUAUGCGUAUUUAAGGAGAUAGCGCAGCGCAUGCGCGGAACGUAUCUCCUUAUCUUUGCACUUUUUGGUAAGAAGAUGUU